UGAGGAAUAUUGGGCAAUGCCCGCAAGGGUGACCCAGCAACGCCGCGUGGAGGAUGAAUGUCGUAAGAUUGUAAACUCCUGUUAGAGGGGAAGAAUAGUACCGGUUGGACCGGUAUAUGACUGUACCCUCAGAGAAAGCCCCGGCUAACUACGUGCCAGCAGCCGCGGUAAUACGUAGGGGGCAAGCGUUGUCCGGAUUUACUGGGUGUAAAGGGCGCGCAGGCGGGAUAAAAAGUCAGUGGUGAAAUCCUACAGCUUAACUGUAGAACUGCCUUUGAUACUUUUAUUCUUGAGUUCGGGAGAGAGAGACGGAAUUCCAGGCGUAGUGGUGAAAUACGUAGAUAUCUGGAAGAACACCAGUUGCGAAGGCGGUCUCUUGGUCCGACACUGACGCUGAGGCGCGAAAGCGUGGGGAGCAAACA
rnacentral:rRNA from 1 species